UACGGAGGGUGCAAGCAUUAAUCGGAUUUAUUGGGCGUAAAGGGCGCGUAGGCGGCCGCAUAAGUCAGAUGUGAAAUCCUGGGGCUUAACCUCAGAACAGCAUUUGAAACUGUGCGGCUAGAGGGUAGUCGGGAGAAAACGGAAUUCCACAAGUAGCGGUGAAAUGCGUAGAUAUGUGGAAGAACAUCUGUGGCGAAGGCGGUUUUCUAGAUUACUCCUGACGCUGAGGCGCGAAAGC
rnacentral:rRNA from 1 species